rnacentral:rRNA from 1 species
CUCUUUCGGGAGACAGCGGCGGACGGGUUAGUAACGCGUGGGAACGUGCCCUUUAGUACGGAAUAGCCAUUGGAAACGAUGAUUAAUACCGUAUACGCCCUAUGGGGGAAAGAUUUAUCGCUAAAGGAUCGGCCCGCGUUAGAUUAGGUUGUUGGUGGGGUAAUGGCCUACCAAGCCUACGAUCUAUAGCUGGUUUGAGAGGAUGAUCAGCAACACUGGGACUGAGACACGGCCCAGACUUCUACGGAAGGCAGCAGUAGGGAAUCUUGGACAAUGGGCGAAAGCCUGAUCCAGCCAUGCCGCGUGAGUGAUGAAGGCCCUAGGGUUGUAAAACUCUUUCGCCAGGGAAGAUAAUGACGGUACCUGGUAAAGAAACCCCGGCUAACUCCGUGCCAGCAGCCGCGGUAAUACGGAGGGGGUUAGCGUUGUUCGGAAUUACUGGGCGUAAAGCGCACGUAGGCGGACUAGUCAGUCAGAGGUGAAAUCCCGAGGCUCAACCUCGGAACUGCCUUUGAUACUGCUAGUCUAGAGUUCGAGAGAGGUGAGUGGAAUUCCGAGUGUAGAGGUGAAAUUCGUAGAUAUUCGGGAGGAACACCAGUGGCGAAGGCGGCUCACUGGAUCGAUACUGACGCUGAGGUGCGAAAGCGUGGGGGAGCAAACAGGAUUAGAUACCCUGGUAGUCCACGCCGU